rnacentral:lncRNA from 1 species
UCCCAACUUACACGAUGGGAUGCUUUCUUUUACCUAAAUCAAUAUAUGAAGAUAUGGAAAAAAAUAAUAGCAAAAUUCUGGUGGCAAAAAGGGUAUGGGAAAUGCGGGAUACAUUGGUGUUCAUGGAGUAAUUUAUGCAAAUUAAAAGAGAAUGGUGGUCUCAGAUUUCUCAAUUUGGCAAAAUUUAACCCGGCCCUUCUUGCGAAGCAAGGUUGGAGACUAAUUGAAAACCCUACUUCCCUUUUAGCGCAAACCUUAAAAACAAAAUAUUACCCGAACUCUGAUUUCCUAAAUUCUGAACUAGGGAACUUACCAUCAUAUACUUGGAAAAGCAUAUAGGUUGCAAAGAGUCCCUUACUAUCGGAUCUUUGCUGGAGAAUUGGCAACAAAUGAGACGUUCAAAUUGAAGAGGAUGUAUGGGUUCUGAAUGCUAAAAAUUUACAUAUUCAACAGUUGGUGAGAAAUCAAAACAUAACAAGGGUGGCAGAUCUGAUCGACAACAACAAUAGACCUUGGAAAACAGACCUGCUAUACCUUCUCAAUAGAUGAUGUCCAAAAAAUUCUCCAAAUUCAGCUAGCUAACACUCCCCAUGAUGACUUUCUGGCUUGGAGGGAUACACAGUGAGAAGUGGGUAUAAAUUGCUAUUACACGGUAACUUGAUUAAUGAUAAUAGUUAUAACCCAAUCGAAAUCAGAAAAUGCUACAGAAAACUAUGGACCAAUGACCUUCCUUCAAAAUUACUUAUUACAGUUUGGAGAGCCACUCAAAAUUACUUGCCUAUUCUAGCAAAUCUAAGAAUCAAAAGACUAACAGACGACGCAGUAUGUCCAAGAUGCAAGCAAGGACUGGAAAAUAGAGAGCAUAUAUUCUGCGACUUUGCUGUUACAAAAUAAACAUGGGAUACAUUAAAUUAUGUUUGGUCCCAGGAUUUAUCUCAAUUGGAGUUCUUGGAUUGGUUUACCUGGAUUAUGCUAACUAGUAAAACCGAUGGUCGUCGAACCUUUAUCUGCGCUAUUUGGGCUAUUUGGUCUGCUAGGAACCAAUGGAUCCAUGAAGGACAUAGGAGAUCUGGAGUAAAUACAACAAGAUUUAUAUUACAGUAUCUUUAAGAGCUGAAUAGUAUAAAGCAAAUAUCCCCUACCUCAAGAGUCAAGACUGUCUUCUGAGUAGUGGAAGCCUCCAAAGUGUGGGUUUUGCAAAAUUAAUUUUGAAGCUGCAGUGGAUAUUAAAAAUUACAGAUCCUGUUCGGGAAUAAUCAUCAGAGACUAUAACGAGGAUGUCCUGACUUCAAAAACCACAAUACACGAGAAUGUACCUUCAGGGUUUGCAGCAGAAGCCAUUGCAUGUCUUCAGGGAGUUAAAAUGGGGAAGGAUCUAGGAUUAAAUUAUGUUGAAAUUGAAGGAGACUCCCUGACGGUUAUCAAGCGAGUUAAAGGCAAAAGCAAAGACAAAUCGGUAAUCGGACCAUAUAUUCGAAACAUUAAAGAAUUGACAAGGGGUUCUUACGAGUGUAAGUUUCAACAUGUCAGACGAAUAAUAAAUGAACAUGCUCAUUUACUAGCAACACAGGGUUUAAGAAUGGCAAAUAACACUCACAUUGCCUAGAGAAGUAAUGGUCCAGAUAUUACAGCUGCUGAAGUUAAUGAAGGAUGGCGAUGAAGAAACAAAAGGACUAAAGACUAUGAGAAGAGAACCUUUAUUUUUUUAGACGUUUACUCUUCUCCAGGGGCUGUUAUAAUUGAAAAGAAGAUUUUUAGACAGAUCUAGAAAAUGAUAGCUCAUACAACUGGGUUGCCUUUCUCUUUUGUCGUUGUUCUUUUUUUU